rnacentral:rRNA from 1 species
CAUCGAGUCUUUGAACRCAAGUUGCGCCCGAAGCCACUAGGUUGAGGGCACGUCUGCCUGGGCGUCACACAAUGUGUCGCCCCCUUGCAACUCGCCUUGCACAGGAUGAGUGUUGCUAAUGGGGGCGGAGAAUGGCUUCCCGUGCAUAGGUGCGGCCGGCCUAAAUUGUAGUCCCUCAUCUCGCAGGUUCACAACAAGUGGUGGUUGAAAAGCUUAAACAAGUUGUGCACACCAUGCGAUGGAGGUGAUGUUUUGGACCCUAAGGCAAUCCCUCUAUUGUGAGGAGCGUUUGUCACGACUGCGACCCCAGGUCAGGCGGGGCUACCCGCUGAGUUUAAGCAUAUCAAUAAGCGGAGGAAAAGAAACUAACAAGGAUUCCCUUAGUAACGGCGAGCGAACUGGGAAGAGCCCAAGCUUAGAAUCGGGCGGGCUUCGUCGCUCGAAUUGUA